UCUAAACACCAUUAUGUUCCUUGCCUCCGAGGUUUGGCUGCACCUGGGCGGAGGCUGAAUUAAUCCGUAAGGAGCUAAAAUG
rfam:Aeromonas hydrophila subsp. hydrophila ATCC 7966, complete genome.